GACGAACGCUGGCGGCGUGCUUAACACAUGCAAGUCGAACGGAAAGGCCCUGCUUUUGUGGGGUGCUCGAGUGGCGAACGGGUGAGUAACACGUGAGUAACCUGCCCUUGACUUUGGGAUAACUUCAGGAAACUGGGGCUAAUACCGGAUAGGAGCUCCUGCUGCAUGGUGGGGGUUGGAAAGUUUCGGCGGUUGGGGAUGGACUCGCGGCUUAUCAGCUUGUUGGUGGGGUAGUGGCUUACCAAGGCUUUGACGGGUAGCCGGCCUGAGAGGGUUACCGGCGACAUUGGGACUGAGAGACGGCCCAGACUCCAACGGGAGGCAGCAGGGGGGAAUAUUGCACAAUGGGAGGAAGCCUGAUGCAGCAACGCCGCGUGCGGGAUGACGGCCUUCGGGUUGUAAACCGAUUUCGCCUGUGACGAAGCGUGAGUGACGGUAAUGGGUAAAGAAGCACCGGCUAACUACGUG
rnacentral:rRNA from 1 species